CCGCUGUGCGCGUUGAUUGGGCAAAUUGGACGUCCAUCAGGGUUCACACAGGAAGAUGAGGGCGGUCGAGGCCGGCCGUGAUGCACCAGGAUGACAACACGGGGUGCUGGGCGGAGCUUCUGACGUCCGAGGCACGCCGGGAAGGAGUCACUGCCAGACGCAAGUUCCGGUUCCGUUGGCGCGGCCGAUUGCUACGGUAACGCGGCCGUUAGUCCUGGGAUGGCAGGGACCAGAGGUGCGGUGGGCCUCCGCGCCUCACCAGCCGAGGUGAGCCGCGAACCUGACGUGCCCAUCCCUGCCCGGGGCUCCGGCCUCAUGUCCAGUCCGGGUCCCACCCGGGGCUCCGGCCUCGGACCCAGCGUGCACGCGGACGGCCAAGCCGUGCUCUGCUUAGCAUGAUCUUUUAGCAUAAAAAUGUAGCCAUUGUGUGUAUGUGCGGUGCGCGCGCAGACACGUGCCACAGCGUGGGAGUGGAAGUCAGCAGACAACUGUGUGUAGUCAGGUCCCCACCUCCGCCUUUUACGAGGCGAGGGGGUCCUGGGAUAGAACUCGGGCCCUUUGAUCCCCAGGUAUCAUAAGAAGACAUACAAGGAAUGCUGAGAUGGGGCAGCUGCUCUGGAAGUCAGUCUGUACCCUUAGCAGCAGAAACUCUAGUUGCCUCCAGGAUUGGCAAGCUUUUAUUCAUGGCCGUAAGUAGUUGUACUUUACAAAAUAAAACAAACAAAUAAAGACUGACA